rnacentral:lncRNA from 1 species
UAAAUCAUCAUAAGUUCAUAACUUGAUUUGGGCUUUCCUCGGGUAGUUCGGCUAGGGAGUGUUCUAAUAGAGGGUUCAUGAGUUAAUUGAGAUUUAGCUCGGGAUGCAUCAUCAAGUAAAGGUGACACUGAUUGUGGUGCUUCAAGCUCACUUUUAUUACAUUAACCCUAAAUAUCAAGCUCGAAAUUCUCGGUUGAUUCAUGAUUAGGAGAAUAAUGCUCAGGUUGUUUUUGUUCGGGUUGUUCAAAUAGGUCUGAAGUUUCUAUUGGAAAGUCUAGGUCGGGAGUUUCUGUUGAAAAAUCUAAGUUGGGAUUUUCUGUUGGAAGAUCAGGUUUUAUUUAUGGAAGGUAGGGUUCAAAAAAAUGUGUGUUUGAAGGUUGGGUUGCAAGUCAAUAUUUCUUUUUCCC